GACGAACGCUGGCGGCGUGCUUAACACAUGCAAGUCGAACGGAAAGGCCCUGCUUUUGUGGGGUGCUCGAGUGGCGAACGGGUGAGUAACACGUGAGUAACCUGCCCUUGACUUUGGGAUAACUUCAGGAAACUGGGGUUAAUACCGGAUAGGAUCUCCUGCUGCAUGGUGGGGGUUGGAACGUUUCGGCGUUUGGGGAUGGACUCGCGGCUUAUCAGCUUGUUGGUGGGGUAGUGGCUUACCAAGGCUUUGACGGGUAGCCGGCCUGAGAGGGUGACCGGCCACAUUGGGACUGAGAUACGGCCCAGACUCCUACGGGAGGCAGCAGUGGGGAAUAUUGCACAAUGGGCGGAAGCCUGAUGCGGCAACGCCGCGUGCGGGAUGACGGCCUUCGGGUUGUAAACCGCUUUCGCCUGUGACGAAGCGUGAGUGACGGUAAUGGGUAAAGAAGCACCGGCUAACUACGUG
rnacentral:rRNA from 1 species